rnacentral:rRNA from 1 species
AUGGCGACCGGCGUACGGGUGAGUAACGCGUAUCCAACCUGCCCUUUACUAUGGGACAGCCCGUCGAAAGGCGGAUUAAUACCGUAUGCUGUCAUGUUGAUGCAUAUUUUCAUGACCAAAGGCUUCGGCCGGUAAAGGAUGGGGAUGCGUCUGAUUAGCUUGCCGGCGGGGUAACGGCCCACCGGGGCGACGAUCAGUAGGGGUUCUGAGAGGAAGGUCCCCCACAUUGGAACUGAGACACGGUCCAAACUCCUACGGAAGGCAGCAG